rnacentral:rRNA from 1 species
UACGUAGGGUGCGAGCGUUAAUCGGAAUUACUGGGCGUAAAGCGUGCGCAGGCGGUUCGUUGUGUCGGUGGUGAAAGCCCCGGGCUUAACCUGGGAAUGGCCAUGGAAACUGGCGAACUGGAGUGUGGCAGAGGGGGGUGGAAUUCCGCGUGUAGCAGUGAAAUGCGUAGAGAUGCGGAGGAACACCGGUGGUGUAAACGGCUUUCUGGACCAUUUCUGACGCUGAGGCACGAAAGCGUGGGUAGCAAACAGG